rnacentral:rRNA from 1 species
AGUAACGCGUGGGUAACCUGCCUCAUACAGGGGGAUAACAGUUAGAAAUGACUGCUAAUACCGCAUAGGCGCACAGUGCUGCAUGGCACAGUGUGAAAAACUCCGGUGGUAUGAGAUGGACCCGCGUCUGAUUAGCUAGUUGGUGGGGUAACGGCCUACCAAGGCGACGAUCAGUAGCCGGCCUGAGAGGGUGAACGGCCACAUUGGGACUGAGACACGGCCCAA